UGAACAAUACCUGAUGAACAAAGCCCUAAGUCUCCAAAUGUUACACUUUAUGGAUAACCAAAUGAACAGAGCCAUGAGUCUCCAAAUGUUACUCUUUGUGAGUAACCCAAAUGAACAGAGUCCUAAGUCUCCAAAUGUUACCCUUUAUGAGUAACCCAAAUGAACAUAGCCCUAGGUCUCUAAAUGUUACCCUUUAUGAGUAACCCAAAUGAACAGAGCCCUAUGUCUCCAAAUGUUACCCUUUAUGAGUAACCCAAAUGAAUCCAUAGGUCUCCAAAUGUUACCCUUUAUGAGUAACCCAAAUGAACAGCACCCUAAGUCCCCAAAUAUUACCCUUUUAUAGGUAACCUAAAUGAACAGAGCCCUAAGUCUCCAAAUGUUACCCUCUUAUGGGUAAUCUAAAUAAACAGAGCCCUAAGUCUCCAAAAGUUACUCUUUAUGGGUGUUAAAUUUGUGCCAGACCUAACUCACCCCAAAAGCUAGCUCAAGGGGGAGGAGUGCCUAUGGCCCAUAUAAGGGGCAC
rnacentral:lncRNA from 1 species